UACGUAGGGGGCGAGCGUUGUCCGGAUUUACUGGGCGUAAAGCGCGUGUAGGCGGCUUUGCAAGUCGGAUGUGAAAUCCCACGGCUCAACCGUGGAAGUGCAUCCGAAACUGCAUCGCUGGAGUCUCGGAGAGGAAGGUGGAAUGCUUGGUGUAGAGGUGAAAUUCGUAGAUAUCAAGCAGAACACCUGCGGCGAAGGCGGCCUUCUGGACGAUGACUGACGCUGAGACGCGAAAGCGUGGGGAGCAAACAGG
rnacentral:rRNA from 1 species